UUGGAGCGUACCAUGAACUAUUUGUGUUGCAGGUUUACAACGCGACUGCCGCGGGACGUGCUGGCAUGAGAUGUUUCCCAGUGUCUGCUCGAGGUUUUUUUGGGUCAGUGCAGAGAUAGGAGGCUGUGUGGAGCAGCAGUCAGGCAGGACAGGAUGUUCUGAGGGCCGGAUGACUUUCAGAGUGUCUAUACAGCGUGAUAAAGCUUAUCUGUCCUACACCAGAGAGAGAGUGAGAGGCAGAUUGGCACGAGAUGCAGGACAUGAAUGAGGCCUCAAACUCUGUUGUUUGUUGAGAAGAGAUGGUGAACUUGUGAUUUUCACCAGGUAGAUGAUGAAUCAGUUGAAAAAUCCCACCCUUUUCACACCAAGAACGAUAACUAAAUUAGCGUCCACACCAACCGGCGAGAUUGUUGUUUAUUAUAAGAGCGCACUGUUGUUUUGUUGUCUGACGCUUUGCACAAGCAAUUUAAAGUUGAGUGGAUUCUGACCAGCUGUCAAUGUUUUUAUCCAUCAUCAUCAUCAUCAAAAAAAAAAAUAAAUUUUGAAUAUGAUUUCA
ensembl:lncRNA